GUACACGCUGUGACUAGUAUAUCAAUAAGCGGAGGAAAAGAAACUAACAAGGAUUCCCCUAGUAACGGCGAGUGAAGCGGGAAGAGCUCAAAUUUGAAAUCUUAAAGGGUUUCCCUUUACGAAUUGUAGUUUAAAGAAGUGUUUUCUGUUGAGGUUUUGGUAAAAGUUCUUUGGAAUAGGACAUCAUAGAGGGUGAGAAUCCCGUAUUUGACCUUUACUUUCAACUUUGUGAUACACUUUCAAAGAGUCGGAUUGUUUGGGAAUGCAGUCCAAAAUGGGUGGUAAAUUUCAUCUAAAGCUAAAUAUUGGCGAGAGACCGAUAGCGAACAAGUACCGUGAGGGAAAGAUGAAAAGAACUUUGAAAAGAGAGUUAAACAGUACGUGGAAAUUGUCAAAAGGGAAGCGUUUGACACCAGUGUUGUUUUUCUGAAAAUCAAUUAAAGAACUGUUUAUGCUAAGUUGUUUAGACUUUAUCAGCUAACUGCUUAGUUUUGAGCUUUUCUUUAAUGCACUUUUCAGUUAACAAGUCAACAUCAAUUUCUUUUGCUGUAAAAAAGCUUGAGGAAGGUGGCUUGAGAUUCGUCUUAAGUGUUUAUAGCCUCUUGCCUAUGCAGUCGGAGAGAUUGAGGUCUGCAGCGUAGAUCCUUCGGGGCUAAAUGCAUUUGUGCUAAGUUAUAACAUUUUAUAGACAACUUGUUGACUAUGAUUUGUCUUGUAGCUUACUCGCUUAUGUUAUUUUACCUACGCUUAGGAUGUUGACGCGCGUGUGUGCGUG
rnacentral:rRNA from 1 species